rnacentral:piRNA from 1 species
CCAAUGUGGACAUGCACCUGAAGC